AUGCCCCGGCCCGACCCCAAACUGGCGAGGUCAGUGGUGCGCGCGCACCCUCCGAGUCAGCACCUCCCUGGAGCCGCAGGUUCUCCGAGCGGCUCUCCCCCGAUUGCAGUGUCCACGCUGGCCUCUAAGAGCCCCCGAUGCCUUCGGCCAGAGCUGUUUUCCCGUUUCGAGAAGGCUCCACCACACUCUACACGGGAUCCAAUCAAGAGCCAUUCCAAAAAUGGCGAAGGGCUCGACGCCCGGGCCUUGAGGCAAAAGCGACUCGGGCACAAGCGAAACUGCUCAGACGCACUUCACAUUAAAGACGCCGACAACACAGCGAGACGAAAAUGGGUCUGUGCGCAGGCGCGCGGAACCACGACUAGCGCGCUGGGGACGAUCCUUCCCCCCUCCCUCAAAGGCCAAGGCAGUGUGGCUCCGACGCGCUUGCGCGAGGAUGGAACGUUGGGUGAGGGGAAACCCGUUCCCUUCAUUGUGAGAGAAAACCGCCCCCGCAAAGCGGGCGGGCGAGCGCGCGCGCGCUCACGCACCGGCGCGCCCCGGGCUUUUCGCCCGGCACCUCGCGCAUGCGCGGAGAGGGAAGCAGUCGUUAAGUCAGGCUUUUUGCUGAGUUUCCUUGAGAAGUUUCUGGAAAGACGAAGCCAAAGCGACGCUGGGAGAUGAGCGCAACGAGGCAAGCGUUUGAAAAAAGCGAAACACCCCAAGCACGCCGUCACACCUUCAGCCUUCGAGCCACGGCCCAAGCAGAGCCCAAGGCCACUGACACCCUCACGCCAGAGAAAAAAACACAGGGACUGCGGCAGGCGCUCCUCCCUCCGGCAGUGCUCAGCCUCCGGGACCCGUCAGCACGGGGAGAGGGGAGAGGGCAGGGGGUGGCCAUGAGAAGCCUAGGGCGCCACAGGACGUUUGCUAGGUGGAAGGAAAGCCGAAACCCGCCCUCUGGAGUCGCCUGCGCGUGCGGGCCCCCUCGAGUGGGCUCAGUACGUUAGGACUCAGCGGUGCUGCCGAAGCAUGGUUGAGGGCGUCUUUCACCGCUUUUUCCUAAGUUUUCCCUCCUCUUGGGAUCUGUGGUCCCUCCCCCGUCCGUCUUCGCUUUGGUGGCCUGACGCUAACGCUGCGAGUGUGGGGAGACCGCAGCAACCCCGGGCCUGAGGGGGCGUCUGUUGCUCCUUUAAAGAAAAGCCCCGCGGAGAGGGGCCCGUGUGACCGAGCAAAGGUAGCGCGCGCCAGCACAAUGGCCGCGUCGUUGGCAGCUCCGGACGCCGCCGCAGGUGCCGCAGGGCGGCGUGGGAAGGCCGGGCGCCUGGGCUGGCAGAACGGCGUUGGCGCUCGGGGGGCCGGGCGGGGGCAGGGAGCCACAGCGCUUCGCAGAUGCCUCUCAGCGGCCGAGCGGCUGCCAUUUUGUGAUGUGGCCGCCGCCAUUUCGCGCGGCCUGUGGGCGGGGCGGCGGGCGAGCGCGUCCCCUUUGUUCUUCCUUUUAUCGGCUGGAGGCCCCAGUGUAGACCGCCGACCGCUUCGGAACCGGGUUACUUCCGAGCGGCCACGCGGCGUGUGAACCUUGCGGCGCGGGCUGGGCGUGCGCAAGGCUCCAACUCUCUUCCGCCUUGCAAGCCCUUCUAAAGUGGGAUUUCUCACCCCACUCUUGCAGGGUGUAGGGAACACUUUUUUUUUUUUUGGUUGAGGGGAACUCAGCCGUGAGAAGUGGUUGUCUAGAGCUUUGAGCUGUUGCCGGUAACGAACCCGUGCGGGUGCCCGGCUUUAGGCGAUCAUGGCGCUCUGCAAAUAGCCCAACUGCAGAGGUCGCCCCUUAGAUCUUCCUCAGCUGCCGGGAGACCUCACAAAGGUGCUAAAAACCCGAUGUCUCUAGCGGUUGGGCUUUUUUUUAAAAAAAAAAACAAAAAAGGAUGUCUUUGACGUGCUGGAAAGCGGAGGAGAAUGAGACGUUGCUUUUCAUUGGCUGGCCAUUAAGCACGCACUGCGCAACUGUUCUCCAGAUACGGGUUUAUAGCCCAUUGUAUCUGAGCCAUAAACUUGAACAAUAGAUUUGAGUAUCUUAUUUCUGUCUGUUUAGAACAUUUCCCAUUUAACUUCUUUUUAAAAUCCCAGAUGAGUAUGUAAAUAAUACAUUGACCUAAUAGAAUCUAUUGUGUGCCUGCCAGCGUUAUUUCAAAUCCUGAAAGAGCUAUUGUUUUUCUGUUUCAAAAAUAUUUAAAUGUAAGUCUUGGUGUUUUAAUGUUAAGGUUGUGGCUUGAAAUCAACAAAGCCAGGAAAUUCAAGAGAAGUGCUGCUAAAUUUGUCUUCCCCCUUUGCUUUUGUACAACUUUUUUUUUUGUUUAAUGUUUUGUUUUUUUUUAAGUUUGUUUUUCUUCACCACAGCGUGAGUUCGUAAAAGAGGCAGCCAAAUCUAUUGGUGGCUCAGCUGCCGCAGGCUUUUUGUUUUCUUACUAUGUGUAAUUACAGGGAAUUAUUUGUUUCAGCAAUAAGGAAUAAAGCUCAUAAUGAUAAGGUUAAAAGGUAAACAUCUGUUGUUGACGGAAUUGAUCAGGAUUUGAUGGCUUCUAGAUGAAAGAAAUAGAAGAGGCUUUUGGAUUCCAAAUAAUUUAGUUCCAUUAUGACCAAACUUAAAGCACUGCAUAGAGCUUUAAAUUUUUAUACCAUAGUUUAAGAUUGUGUAAGUCUUUUGGCAUGAACUGUCCUUUUGUUUUUGAGACGGCCUUACUGUCUUGGCGGUGGCGAAAUCAUGGCUCACUGCAGGCUUAACUUCCCUGGGCUCAGGUGAUCCACCCACCUCAGCCUUCAUUGUAGCUGAGACAAUAGGUACGAACCACCACCCCGGGCUAAUUUUUUAAGGUGGGGUUUCGCCUUGUUGCCCCGCUGGUCUCCAGCAUCUGGGCUCAAGAGAGCCUCUCCUAGUGUUGAGAUUACAGGCAUGAGGAACCGCUCCUGGCUUGUCCUUCAUUUUCGCAGUGAGAGCCUACAGAACAUAUAUAUAUAUAUUUGUUAAUGCUGUGGGGUUUUUUUCUUUUUUGCCUGUGCAACGAAAAUGAAAUACUCUAAAAGCAUGAGUUUUAUUGGAAAUUUGGAGUCUAUUACAGUAGCCUGAUAACUCAGGCAAAUUAUGGCUCUAAUUAUCUGGGCAGUUCAGAAGGAUCUGUUUAAACAGUCCUAAUUCCUUGGGUUCAUUUUUAUAUAUAAACACAUACCUUUAACCAUUACAUUUAACACAGCACAUCCUUUUAUUGUACAAAAAAAUGAUGUUAAUUUGUAUUUUCUUAAAGAGUGGGUGGUGUUUGCACUGUUGACGUCUCCCUUAUGACCAGGGCGUACAUUUGCAAAACAGUUGAACAGAAAUCCAGGCUAACCUCCUCCACCAUACUCAUAUCGACCUAGCUUCCUAACCGGAAAAACCCCAAACACUGUUAGAACUGGUGAACUUUAAAUAUGCAGAGAACCAUCCUCAAAUAAGCAGAUUGAAUCACCACAUCUCAUGAUCUGCCCCAGAGGUGAAAAGGCCUUUGUUUAUAUAGUCCUGGAUCUCGUUUGUGUUUGUCAGGCUAUACCAGACUAGCAAAUUCCAGAACUGCUAAUUCAUUGUUCCUGUAGUUUUUCUUACUCUAAAACCGAGGUGUCUGAAUUAAUUUGUACCACAUAUAUGCUCCCUAGAAGAGGGUAGAUGUUAACCAAAACCUUUGAUUCGACCCAGAUCCUUAAGACAGACAAUGCAGAAUAGAAAUGGUGUGGACUAGGCCCCUUUUGCUCAUGCCUUUGGAUUUGUUCUUUUUUUCUUUUUCUUUUUUUUUUUUUUUGGCAUUUGACAAAGUUUCUGGGCUGCUUUUCUGAACAAUGGAUAGAAACCAUAAUAAUCCCUAUCCAUUGUUCAAGGAAAGAACAGCUUCUCAUGCCAAAUUCUGAAAUAGGAGAGAAUUUAAAACAAUAACUUUUUACCCGUAAAGAUACAUGAACUUCUUUAGUCGGUUUAAUAAUGUGGGAAGUCCUUCAAAAUAUUUUUGGCAGCAGUUAGCACUCCCACAUCGUGUAAUAAUUUUUUCUCCUUUGAGGCAGAACAUUCAGAGAGUUGGUUAUAAAAUGCUUUCCUACACUUCAGAAGUAUUGGAGUUCAAGGAACAAAUACUUGCAACAACAGUAUGCUUCUUAGAAAAAUAAGAAAGACAGCGGGGCAUGGUGGCUCACGCCUGUAAUCCUAGCACUUUGGGAGGCUGAGGCGGGCAGAUCAACAGGUCAGGAGAUCGAGACCAGUCUGGCCAACAUGGUGAAACCCCGUCUCUACUAACAAAAUAUAAAAAUUAGUUGGGCGUGGUGGCGUGCGCCUAUAGUCCCAGCUACUCGGGAGGCUGAGGCAAGAGAAUUGCUUGAAGCCUGGAAGUGGAGGUUGCUGUGAGCCAAGAUCACACGACUGCACUCCAGUCUGUAUGACGGAGUGAGACUCAGUCUCAAAAAAAAAAAAAAAAAAAAAAAGCCUGGGCACAGUGGCUUUCACCUGUAAUCCCAGCACUUUGGGAGGCUGAGGUAGAUGGAACACCUGAGAUCAGGAGUUCGAGAUUAGCCUCACCAAUAUGGUGAAACCCUGUCUCUACUAAAAAUACAAAAAUCAGCUGGGGGUGGUGGCAGGUGCCUGUCGUCCCAGCUAUUCUGGAGGCUGAGGCAGGAGAAUUGCUAGAAACCGGGAGGUGGAGGUUGCAGUGAGCUGAGAUUGUGCCACUGUACUCCAGCCUGAGCAACAAGAGCAAAACUCCAUCUCAAAAAAAAAAAAGUAAACAAUGCUCCUGGGUCACUCAACGUUUGUUUGUCAUGCCAGAGUACAAAAUGGUCAACUCUAGAGCAAAAUUCUAUCUUGACAGCUAUGCAGAUUAUGUAAAACCUGUAGAUGUUUUAUGGUAUAAGUGACCUAGUUAGAUAACAUAUCAAAAAGACUGAAAAGUCAGGAUUUAAACUUGUUUAACAAUUAUUGAGCAUCAAACAAUGUACCAGAGCCUGUUUCUGGUGCUUAGGUAUAUCACUGAAUAAAAACAAAGCAAAUAUCCCUGUUCUCAUGGAGCUUACCCUGGUGGAGAAGGGAGACAGACAAUAAGGAAAUUAAUAGAAGUGGCAAGUGCAAUGGUAAAUAUAGAGUGAAGGAUAAUAGAGAUGAAGCAAGUCUUGUAAUUUUAAAUGAGGUGGUUAGGGUAGGCCUCAAGAAGGAGAUGGUUUUUAACUUUUUUUGUACAUACAUAUUUUUGAAACAGAGUCUCACUCUGUUGCCCAGGCUGGAGUGCACUGAUGGGAUCUCGGCUCACUGCAGCCUUCGCUUCCUGGGAUCAAGUGAUCCUUCUGCCUCAGCCUCCAGAGUAGCUGGGAUUACAGGUGCCCACAACUAUGCCCAGCUAAUUUUUGUAUUUUUACUACAGACAGUGUUUCACUCUGUUAGCCAGGAUGGUCCCAAUCUCCUGACCUUGUGAUCCGCCCACCUUGGCCUCCCAAAGUGUUCAGAUUAUAGGUGUGAGCCACCACCUCUGGACCAGAUUACAGGUGUGAGCCACCACCCCUGGCCUUAUUUGUACAUUUUUAGAGAAAGGGUCUCGCUGUCACCCAGACUGAAAUGCAGUGGUGUAAUUCUAGUUCACCUCAGGCUCUAACUCCUUGACUCAAGCGAUCUUCCUGCUUCAGCUCCCCAAAGUACUAGGAUUACAGGUGUGUGACUUAGUGCCCCACCAAGGAGAUAUUUAUUAUCAGAUGAGGAAGUUCCUUUUCAACUAUUUGACAAAAUCUACCACUUCUUCAUAAUAAAUACAGUUAUGAAAAGGAACUUCCUCAUCUGAUAAUAAAUAUCUCCUUGGUGGGGCACCAAGUCACACACCUGUAAUCCUAGGUGAAGGAUUACAGAGGGAAGAGAUUGCAGAGGGAAUCAUAAAAAGACUUUCAAGGAGGAGCAUGACUGGCACAUAUGAAAUAGAAGAAGGAAAUCAGUGUAGUUAAAGUAGAAUGGUCAUAGCUGGGUGUGGUGGCUCAUGCCUGUGAUCCCAGCACUUUGGGAGGCAGAGGUGAGAAGAUUGCUUGAGGUCAGGAGUUCCAGAUCAACCUGUGCAACAUGGUGAGACCGUCUCUACAAAAUGUUAAAAUUACUUGGGCGUGGUGUGUGCCUGUAGUCCUAGUUACGAGCAAUGCUGAGUCAGAAGGACUCCUUGUGCCUGGGAGUCUAAGGUUACAGUGAGCUAUGACUGCACCACUGCACUACAACCUGGGUAACAUGGUAAAACCUCAUCUCUACAAAAAAUAUAAAAAUUAGCCAGGCAUGGUGGCAUGCACCUCUGGUCCCAACUACUUGGGAGGCUGAGGUCAGAGAAUUGAGCCUGGGAAGUGAGUCAAGGCUGCAGUGAGCCUUGAUUGUGCCACUGCACUCCACCCUGGGUGACAGAGGGAGACUCCGUCUUAAAAAAAAAAAAAUUGAAGCUGGGCGCGGUGGCUCAUGCCUGUAAUCCCAGCACUUUGGGAGGCCGAGGCGGGUGGAUCAUGAGUUCAAGAGAUCGAGACCAUCCUGGCCAACAUGGUGAAACCCUGUCUCUACUAAAUAAAAAAAAAAUUAGCCGGGCAUGGUGGCACAUACCUGUAAUCCCAGCUACGGGAGGCUGAGACAGGAGAAUCGUUUGAACCCAGGAAGCAGAGGUUGCGGUGAGCAGAGAAUGCACCAUUGCACUCCAGCCUGGGCAACAGGAGCGAAACUCCAGUCUCAAGAAAAGAAAAAGAAAUAGAAUGGUCAAGAGGGGGAGUAUAGGAUGAAUGUCAAAGAGUCAGAGGAGUGUGUGGGACAGAUCUGUAGACUGGUAGACCGUAGUGGGUCUCUAUGGCUUUUAAUGUUGACAUGUUUUUUCUUAAUUUUUUUUUUUUUUUUUUUUUUUGUGGAGAUGGAGUUUCGCUCAUUACCCAGGCUGGAGUGCAAUGGCGCGAUCUCGGCUCACCGCAACCUCCACCUCCUGGGUUCACGCAAUUCUCCUGCCUCAGCCUCCUGAGUAGCUGGGAUUACAGGCACGCGCCACCAUGCCCAACUAAUUUUUUGUAUUUUUAGUAUAGACGGGGUUUCACCAUGUUGACCAGGAUGGUCUCGAUAUCUUGACCUCAUGAUCCACCUGCCUCGGCCUCCCAAAGUGCUGGGAUUACAGGCGUGAGCCACCGCGCUGGGCCGACAUGUUUUUAAAAGACUGCGCAACAUAUUGAGAAUAAAAGACCUAGGAUAGAAGCAGGAGCCGAAUGAAUUGGCCAUAUCAGUAAUCCAAGUGAAGGUGAGGGUGGCUUUAAUGACCAAAAUCUAUAUAUCCUGGAAAGAUAUAUAUGUGUGUGUGUGUGUGAGAGAGAGAGAGACUGAGUCUCACUCUGUCACCCAUACUGGAGUGCAGUAGCGCAGUCUCGGCUCACUGCAACUUCUGCCUCCCAGGCUCAAACAUUUCUCCUGCCUCAGCCCCCUGAGUAGCUGAGACAACAGGUGUGUGCCACUACUGCCCAGCUAAUUUGUGUGUGUGUGUGUGUGUGUGAUAAAAUCUCGAUCUGGAGCCCAGGCUGGAGUGCAAUGGCGUGAUCUUGGCUCAUUGCAGCCUCUACCUCCCAGGUUCAAGCGAUUCUCCUGCCUCAGCCUCCAAGUAGCUGGGGUUACAGGUAUGCACCGUCAUGCCAGGCUAAUUUUUAUAUUUUUUAGUAGAGACGAGGUUUUACCAUGUUGGCCAGGCAGGUCUUGAACUCCUGAUCUCGUAAUUCACCUGCCUCGGCCUCCCAAAAUGCUGAGAUUACAGGCGUGAGCCACUGUGCCCUAGCCCUGGAUACAUUUUGACAGUAAAUUCAAGCAGACUUUCUGGUAGAUGGAACAUGGGAUUGAUAAAAAGAGGAGUCAAGGAUGAGCCAAAACAUUUUUUGACCUGGGCAAUUUUUGACCUGGGCAACUGAAAGAGUUGUGAUGAAGGAGGACCGGAUAGAGCAGUUCUGCAGGAGAAGAUUAGAAGUUCAAUUUGGGUGUGUUCAAUUUGAGGUGUUUAUUAGAUAUCAAAUGGAGGUGCAGGUGGGCUAUUGGAUAUAUGGGUUUUGAGUUUAGGAGGAAGUUCUGGAGAUUUAUAUUUUUAUAUAUAUGCCCUUUUUUAAUAUUACCUGUAUUUGUAUGUAAGAGAGUUAUCCUAUAAAUAGCAUUUAAAGCCUCAUACUGGAAGAGAUCACAAUGUAAAUAUAGAAGGAAAUACAAUCAAGGAAGCCCUGAGGCACUCCACUGUUAAGAGGUCUGAGAAGGUUUGCAAAGCAGGAUGAGAAGUAACAACCAGUUAGGUGGAAAACCAGGAAAGGGUGGUGUCCAGGAGUCAAGUCAAGAAAAUGGAGGAGGUGGCCAGGCACGGUGGCUCACACCUGUAAUCCCAGCACUUUGGGAGGCUGAGGCAGGCAGAUCAUGUGGUCAGGAGUUUGACACAAGCCUGGCCAAUAUGGUGAAACCCCGUCUCUAUUAAAAAUAUAAAAGUUAGCUGGGCAUGGUGGCACACACCUGAAUUCCCAGCUACUUGGGAGGCUGAGGCAGAAUUGCUUGAACCCAGGAGGCAGAGGUUGAAGUGAGCUGAGAUCCCGCCAUUGCACUCCAGCCUGGCAACAAAGUGAGACUCCAUCUCAAAAUAAAUAAAUAAAAAUAAAAUUUAAAAAAGCUGGGUGUGGUGGCAUGUGUCUGUAGUCCUAGCUACUGGGGAGGCUGAGGCAGGAGAAUCUCUUGAACCCGAGGGGCAGAGGCUGCGGUGAGUCAAGGUUGCAGCACUUCUCUCCAACCUGGGCUACUAAGUGACUCUGUCUCAAAAAAAAAAAAAAAAAAAAUGGAGGAGGGAAUGCUCAAUGGUGAAAUGCUGCUGAGAAAUUAAGUUGAGGCAUGAAAAUUGAGUAUUGUAUGAGCAAGUGGAAGUCAUUGGUGACCUUGACAAGAGCCUCUGCAGGAAGUAGUGGGGCAAAAGUUUUGUUAGAAUGGAUUGAAAACAACAAAACAAAAAACAGUGGCUGGGCCGCGUGGUGGCUCACGCCCAUAAUCCCAGCAUCACGAGGUCAAGAGAUCCAGACAUCCUGGUCAACAAGGUGAAACCCCAUCUCUAUUAAAAAUACAAAAAUUAGCUGGGCAUGGUGGUUCGCGCCUGUAGUCCCAGCUACUCGGGAGGCUGAGGCAGGAGAAUUGCUUGAACCCAGAAGGUGAGCCGAGAUUGCGCCAUCGCACUCCAGUCUGGGUAACAACAGUGAAACUUCAUCUCAAAAAACAAACAAAAAAAACCCCAGUAAGUAUGACCUUUGGAAAAGCCUGACGGUGAGACUUAGAGGGGAAGAUGCCAGAGACUGUGAUGUUGGAAAGUACCUUCUGUUUUAGGAAGUCCCUGGGUCAGUGCAGCAAGUGGGAACUCAAAACCUUAGGGCUUCCAGAGGAAUUGUUUGGUACAUUCUCAGGACGUGGUCUCCUUCUGGCCUCAUACCUGCUCCAUGAUGAUAUGAAUAAUAAAUUAUUUCUCAAAAAAGAAAACAAGGCAGGUGCAGAGGCUCACACCUGUAAUCCCAGCACUCUGGGAGGCUGUCAGGCAGCUCAUGAGGUCAGAAGAUCAAGACCAUCGUGGCCAAUAUGGUGAAACCCUGUUUCUACUAAAAAAUACAGAAAAAAUUAGCGGGGCAUAGUGAUGCGCACCUGUAGUUCCAGCUACUCAGGAGACUGAGGCAGGAGUCUCAGUGUACAUUUUCUAAUUUUUUAUGAAAUGUUGCUCUCCAGCUUAUGUAGAAUAACAUCUUCACCUGUUUUUCCUUUAUCCUAGCACACACUAUAUUUCUGCCAUUUACAUUGAUUUAUACUGCUAGUGAUUUAGGGAUUCAGUUUUUUGGAGUUGGGAGGCAGAGGUUUCCUUGAGCUGAGAUCACCCUCUGCACUCCAGCCUGGGAGACAGAGCAAGACUCCAUCUCAAAAAAACAAAAAAAGAAAAAAUAAAGACAAGAUUUGAAGGUCCCAAGUAGGAUCUUUGACUCAGACACGGUAUUGUGAUUUUCUUUUCUCUCUCUCUCUCUCUUUUUUUUUUUUUUUGAGAUAGAGUCUCACUCUGUCGCCAGGUGCCAGGCUGGAGUGCAGUGGCGCAAUCUUGGCUCACUGUGACCUCUGCCUGCCUCCCGGGUUCAAACAAUUCUGCCUCAGCCUCCCGAGCAGCUGGGACUACAGGCACAUGCCACCAUACCCAGCUAAUUUUUGUAUUUUUUGGUAGAGACAGGGUUUCACCAUGUUGGCCAGGAUGGUCUUGAUCUCUUGACCUCCUGAUCUGCCCGCCUCGGCCUCCCAAAGUGCUGGGAUUACAGGCAUGAGCCACCAUGCCUGGCCCGUGAUUUUCUUCUCUAGAAAUGGAGUCCCGCUCUGUCCCCCAGGCUAGAGUGCAAUGACAUGACCUUGGCUCACUGCAACCUCUACUUCCCUGGUUUAAGCGAUUCUCCUGCCUCAACUCCUGAGUAGCUGGGAUUACAGGCAUGUGCCACCAUGCCCAGCUCUUUUUUUUUUUUUUUUUUUUUAGAAGAGGCAGGGUUUUACCAUGUUGGUCAGGCUGGUCUCAAACUCCUGACCUCAUGAUCCACCCACCUCAGCCUCCCAGAGUGCUGGGAUUACAGGUAUGAGCGCUGUGCCUGGCUGACUUGAGAUGUAUUUCUGAUGGUUACUGCAUUAGUUAUGUGUAGAGUAUACGUCAUGAAAAUUCCACUUCUUGGAGAGUAUUAAAUUUUUUUUUUCCGCUUUUAUUCUGGUCUACUCCGGGACAGAGUAUUAAAUUUUAAGAAAGUUUUUUUUGGUGGGGGGGCAGGCAUGGUGGUUCAUGCCUGUAAUUCUAGCACUUAGGUAGGCCAAGGUGGGUAGAUAACCCCAGGUCAGGAGAAUCGAGACCAUCCUGGCUAGCAAGGUUAACUUUUACAUUUUUUUGUAGAGACAGGGUCUCAUUGUAUUGCCCAGUCUGGUCACAAACUCUUGAUGUUUAUUGCCUAUCUCUGCUAACACACAAAAAAAAUUAGCCUGGUGUGGUAGUGCACGCCUGUAACCCCAACUCCUUGGGAGGCUGAGGUAGGAGAAUCACUUGAACCCAGGAGGCGGAGGUUGCAGUGAGCAAUGAUCAUGGCAUUGCACUCCAGUCUGGGCAACAAGAGCAAAACUCUGUCUCAAAAAAAAAAAAAAGAUUUAUCUUUCAAAAGAAGAUAAAAAAGUAUGUGUGGUAUCCAUUAUCUUGGGGACACUGUGUACAAAUGCCAUGCUGGAUGUUUUCAGUGUUUUUUUUUUUGAGAUGGAGUUUCACUCUUGUCCCCUAGGCUAGAUUUCAAUGGCAUGAUCUCGGCUCACCAACCUCUGCCUCCCAGGUUCAAGUGAUUCUUCUGCCUCAGCCCCCCAAGUAGCUGGGAUUACAGACAUGCACCACCAUGUCUGGCUAAUUUUGUAUUUUUUAGUAGAGACGGGGUUUUUCCAUGUUGGUCAGGCUGGUCUUGAACUCCCGACCUCAGGUGAUCCACUUGCCUUGGCCUCCCAAAGUGCUGGGAUUACAGGCAUAAGCCACCAAGGCUGGCGUGGUUUUUUGUUUUUUUUUAAGAGUUGGAUUCUUGCUCUGUUGCUGGGCUGGAGUGCAGUGUCAUGAUCCCAGCUCACUGCAACCUACGGCUCCCAUGUUCAAGCGAUUCUUCUGUCUCAACCUCCCAAGUAGCUGGGACUACGGGUGCUCACCACCACACCCAGCUAAUUUUUUUGUAUUUUAGUAGAGACAGGGUUUCACUGUUAGCCAGGAUGGUUUCACCAUGUUAGUCAGGGUGUUAGCCAGGUUGGUCUCGAUCUCCUGACCUAGGUGAUCCACCCACCUCGGCCUCCCAAAAUGCUGGGAUUACAGGUGUGAACCAUGGCGCCUGGCCUGGAUGUUUUUUUGAGACAGGGUCUUGCUCUGUCACCCAGCAGUGAUGUGAUCAUGGCUCCACUGCAGCUUUUAACUCCUGGGCACAAGGGAUCUUCCCCUCUCUGCCUCAGCCUCCCAGGUAUCUGGAACUACAAGAGCAUGUCACCAGCCCUGGCUAACUUUUACAUAUUUUUGUAGAGACAGGGUCUCGUUGUGUUGCCCAGUCUGGUCACAAACUCUUGAUGUUUAUUGCCUUUCCAAGAAAGAGAACCUUUUCCUUCCUUCCUUCCUUCCUUCCUUCCUUCCUUCCUUCCUUCCUUCCUUCCUUCCUUCCUUCCUCCCUCCCUCCCUCCCUCCCUCCCUCCCUCCCUCCCUCCCUUUCAUUCUUCCCUUUUCCCUUCCCUUCUCCCUUUCCUUUCCUUUCCUCUUUUUCUUUUCGAGUCAGAGUCUCACUCUUAUCACCCAGGCUGGAGUGCAAUCACAUUAUUUCCAUUCACUGCAACCCCCACCUUCCUGGUUCCAGCAAUUCUCCUGCUUCAGCCUCCGGAGUAGCUGAAAUUACAGGCAUGCACCACAUGCCCAGCUAGCUAAUUUUUGUAAUUUUAGUAGAAAGGGGGGGUUUCACCACAUUGGCCAGGCUGGUCUUGAACUCCUGACCUCAGGUGAUCCACCCGUCUCAGCCUCCCAAAGUGCUGGGAUUACAGGCAUGAGCCACCGUGCCUGGCCCGUGAUUUUCUUCUCUAGAAAUGGAGUCCCGCUCUGUCGCCCAGGCUGGAGUGCAAUGGCAUGACCUUCGCUAACUGCAACCUCCACUUCCCUGGUUUAAGCGAUUCUCCUGCCUCAACUCCUGAGUAGCUGGGAUUACAGGCAUGUGCCACCAUGCCCAGCUAAUUUUUUUUUGCCUGGCUCACUCGCUCUUUCUUUUUUUCUUUUGCACAAGUUUUCUUUUACUAAAAUUUACUUAUUUUAUGUUAAACAAGGGUCAUUUAUCCUGCAUUUUUUUCAGUAAAUACUUGGAGGAACUUACUACAAAAGGAGAACAGAAAAAAUGGACUGGUAGCAGGUAAGCGGUGAGCGUCUGGGGAAAAGAGAUGAAGAUAAGUUUGUACUUUUUUUUUUUUUGAGACAGAGUGUUGCUCUUGUUGCCCAGGCUGGAGUGUAAUGGCAUGAUCUUGGCUCACUGCAACCGCUGCUUCCCAGGUUCAAGCAAUUCUCCUGCCUCAGCCUCCCAAGUAGCUGGGAUUACAGGUGACUGCCAGCAUGCCCAGCUAAUUUUUUAUUUUUGGUAGAGAUGAGUUUUCUCCAUGUUGGUCAGGCUGGUCUCGAACUCCCAACCUCAGGUGAUCUGCCCACCUCAGCCACCCAAAGUGCUGGCAUUACAGGCAUGAAACAACAAGCCCGGCAAGUUUUUAAGGUAGAAGAAAUAAUUUUGCACAAUACUGCUGAUUGAGUAGAGAAUUAAUGUGGGUUGGAGAGUGAAAAGAAUUGAUGGGAUGAUCUGAGUCCUGAAGUAGGAGGGAAGGGCUGCAUAAGCAAAGCAAUUGGCUUUUGAUAGUUCAGCUAGUAGAGGACCGGAAGCUGGAAUGUACGGGGGCAGAUGCUGGCAAGCAAAUGUGCUUGAGCAAGUCCAUGCAAGAAAUGCCACUAAUUGACCAAGAGACAGAGUCAAGAUAAUUAGCUAUGCUGGCUGGGCACUGUGGCUCACGGCUGUAAUCCCAGCACUUUGGGAGGCCGAGGCAGGCAGAUCACCUGAGGUCAGGAGUUCAAGACCAGCCUGGCCAACAUGGUGAAAUCCCAUCUCU